UACGAAGGGGGCUAGCGUUGUUCGGAUUUACUGGGCGUAAAGCGCACGUAGGCGGAUCGUUAAGUCGGGGUGAAAUCCUGGAGCUCAACUCCAGAACUGCCUUCGAUACUGGCGAUCUUGAGUCCGGAAGAGGUGAGUGGAACUCCUAGUGUAAGAGGUGGAAUUCGUAGAUAUUAGGAAGAAACACCAGUGGCGAAAGGCGGCUCAC
rnacentral:rRNA from 1 species